GUUUACUUGUACAUGAAUCUGUCACUCACUACUCACUUAUUUCAAUGUUUUAGACGUGUUUAUAAUAAUAAAGAACAAGAAAUUCGUUUUGUAUAACUAAAAUUUUCACACUUAUGUGUUUGAAAGGUUUAGGGUCCUAGAGAGAAAGUGGCAAUAGCACCUAGUGCUUCACCUACGACAACCCCCCAACUUGCCCAGUGAGUAUUACAACUUAUGAUUAUGCCAUAAUUGCAAUUUAUAUAUGGUGUUUUUUUAAUGCAGAGCACCAAAAAAAUCCAAGAAGUAACAAUUAGCAUUAUAUAUGAUUAUUAUUGCUAGAAAUUUCUCAUCACCUUCACUGUAACUUCAAGGUGAGUUCCUUAUAUUAAUAAUAAUAAUAAUAACCGCCGACACCGACACUGACACCGACAGCACUAUUUCAUUCCUCUUCUAACGGUAAGUUAAUUUUCCUUUUCAGUUUUCAUUUUUCUUACUCAACUUUCUUGAAUACCAUCUAUUUAUCUAACUAAUACAAUACCUACUCAAGAAUAAUUUCCUUUCUUCCCAAUGUUUUUUCCUAUAAAAACCACUAUUUCCUGUCCUCAGACUUUGAAGCAAUUGCAGAAGUUUUGGUUUUGGAAAAUGGGUGGAUUUCCUUUCCCCAAUAUGAUGUGUUUUCACUGGCAUGGAGUUUAUUAGGACUAAGCUAUCAGCUUUAAAUUGAUAUUCUCUUGGUCUCAAGGUGUUACAUGCUUAUAGUUUUUAACUGAGAUAUUUAUGACUUCGUUUUGGUAUGGCUUAAUUUUCUGAUAUGUGACCUACAAGCAUGUCUGGGAGAUUAACAACUUCUCAAAAUUAGAAUUAGAAUGCUGUGACUCUAAAACAUUCAAUGCUAGAAACUGAGUGGUACAACAAUCACCCUGCUUUGUUUCUAAUAUAUGCUUCCAAAAUGUCUGAAAUUUUGCUUUGCAAUUUACUUACAUUGGUCAUAAUGCUAUUUAUUGUAGGAAGAUAAAACUAUAUUCCAAAGAAAAUGGCCCUGGAUUUGGUAGUCAUCUUUCUUUAUACUUAGCCUUAUCUAACCCAUCAACACUUUCUCCCGUUUCAAAAAUAUAUGCACAGAUAACAUUACGCAUACUUGACCAAAAGCAAGCCAAGCAUCACCAGUCAAUACUAGGGUAUUCUGGUGAAGGAUAGUUGCUUGGUGGAAGCUGAAGUCCAAAUUCGGGGUGGUUGAAGCAUUGUCCUGAGUUUGUCUAUAAAGCAGUCACAAUAAGCACCAACACUAUUUCAAUGUAAUGGCUUAAUUUUCUGAUAUAAGUUAUAUUAAUUAAGUGCUUAGGCAGCUAGGCUUUAGAAUGUGUUAUGUGUAGUAUAUUAUGUAUUUAAUUCUGUAAGAAUAUUGAAGAAUUAGAAAAAUUGACUUAUUGGACCAA